ACGAAGGAUGCAAGCGUUAUCCGGAUUUAUUGGGUUUAAAGGGUGCGUAGGCGGACUUAUAAGUCAGUGGUGAAAUCUCGUUGCUUAACAACGAACGUGCCAUUGAUACUGUAGGUCUUGAGUACAGAUGCCGUUGGCGGAAUGUGUCAUGUAGCGGUGAAAUGCAUAGAUAUGACACAGAACACCGAUUGCGAAGGCAGCUGACGAAACUGUAACUGACGCUGAGGCACGAAAGCGUGGGGAUCAAACAGGAUUAGAUACCCUGGUAGUCCACGCCCUAAACUAUGAUUACUAGCUGUCGGCGAUAAACAGCCGGUAGCCAAGCGAAAGCGAUAAGUAAUCCACCUGGGGAGUACGCUCGCAAGGGUG
rnacentral:rRNA from 1 species